rnacentral:rRNA from 1 species
CCUACGGGAGGCAGCAGUGGGGAAUUUUGGACAAUGGGCGAAAGCCUGAUCCAGCAAUGCCGCGUGCAGGAAGAAGGCCUUCGGGUUGUAAACUGCUUUUGUACGGAACGAAACGGUCUGCUUUAAUACAGUGGGCUAAUGACGGUACCGUAAGAAUAAGCACCGGCUAACUACGUGCCAGCAGCCGCGGUAAUACGUAGGGUGCGAGCGUUAAUCGGAAUUACUGGGCGUAAAGCGUGCGCAGGCGGUUAUAUAAGACAGUUGUGAAAUCCCCGGGCUCAACCUGGGAAUUGCAUCUGUGACUGUAUGGCUAGAGUACGGUAGAGGGGGAUGGAAUUCCGCGUGUAGCAGUGAAAUGCGUAGAUAUGCGGAGGAACACCGAUGGCGAAGGCAAUCCCCUGGACCUGUACUGACGNUCAUGCACGAAAGCGUGGGGAGCAAACAGGAUUAGAUACCCUGGUAGUCCAGCCCUAAACGNUGUCACUGUGUGGU